rnacentral:rRNA from 1 species
UACGAAGGGGCUAGCGUUGCUCGGAAUCACUGGGCGUAAAGCGCACGUAGGCGGAUCGUUAAGUCGGGGGUGAAAUCCUGGAGCUCAACUCCAGAACUGCCUUCGAUACUGGCGAUCUUGGAGUCCGGGAGAGGUGAGUGGAACUCCGAGUGUAGAGGUGAAAUUCGUAGAUAUUCGGAAGAACACCAGUGGCGAAGGCGGCUCACUGGCCCGGUACUGACGCUGAGGUGACGAAAGCGUGGGGAGCAAACAGG